rnacentral:lncRNA from 1 species
AGAAAGAAACUUCCAACAGAAUGAGAUGUUCUGAAGAGCCCUGCAUGAAAUUUUAAAGAAGCUGGACCUUUCAUCUGCACAACAGCAGGACACCUCACUGUAGGGACAAGAAAGGAAGAGAGAAAAACUGUUUCUGAAGCAAUAGCAAAAAAUAACAGCAGAAGCAAUUAUUUCAUCAAAGUUUUCAGAUGGGCUGGCAAAAGUUUAGCAUUAUAAACCAAACAGCCAACUGGAG